rnacentral:lncRNA from 1 species
GGGGAGGAUACAGGGAAACUUGGUUAAAAACAGAGUUAAAGGGAAUGGGUCUCGGAAGCCGAGGGUCUGAAGUUCAAGACUCCUAGAAGGGGAGGGGAAUGAAAGCCACUCAGUGAAGAAGGAAUGAUGAAAUUUACUGCACAGAAUGGGUAUGAAAAUGAAGUGAGCCAGCAAAAAUGAAAGUGGACCCUGUAACCUCUGGCACACAUAGUCACUUAUGCCUUUCCUUCUGCUGUCAGAUGGUGGUUGUGAGUUUCCGUAGAUGAGAAAUCUGAGGACAGCUUAGCUGGGUGCUCCUGGUGCAGGUCUCUGACAGGGCUGCCGUCAUCUCCAGGCUUGAAUGGGGAGAUUCUGCUUCCAAGCUCACUCACCUGUCUGUUGGCUGAAGACAUCCUUUCCUUGCCAUGAGUCCUCUCUGUAAGGCAGCUCACAGUAUGAGCUGUCUUCUCUAUUAGUGAGAGAACAGGAGAUGGUGCCCAAGGCAGAAGCCAUAGCCUUUUUAUAACCUCAUCUCAAAAGCAACAUCCCCUCACGUGUGCUAUAUUCCAUUAGUUAGAAGUGAGUCUGGAGUUCCCUGGUGGCUCAGAGGGUUAAGGAUCCAGUGUUGUCACUGCCGUGGCUCUGGUUACUGCUGUGAUGCAGGUUUGAUCCCUGGCCCAGGAACUUCUGCAUGCCAUGGGCAUGGGAAAAAAGAGAGAUCAAGAAGUGAAUCAGGGAGUUCCCAUCAUGGCAUGGCGGAAGCGAAUCAGACUAGGAACCAUGAGGUUUCGGGUUCGAUCCCUGGCCUUGCUCAGGAGUUAAGGAUCUGGCAUUGCUGUGAGCUGUGGUGUAGGUCACAGAUGCAUUUCGGAUCUGGCAUUGCUGUGGCUGUGGUGUAGGCUGGCAGCUGUAGCUCUGAUUAGACCCCUAGCCUGGGAACCUCCAUAUGCUGCAGGUGUGGCCCNCCUACAGUCAACUAGAGGGGUCCCAGGAAAGUGUGACUGGGAGGCAAGAACCACUAUGGGCCAUCUCAGAGGUGCUGUACCACACCACUCUAUCCAAGCCAUUUCUUUUUUUUCCCCAUCACUUCUUAGGGUUGUGCUUGCGGUGGGCAGUCUUGAGGGAUAAAGUAACAUCUUUCUCUGGGACAAAGAGCAGGUUUAGCUUGCUACUUGCUAGAAAAGCAGUGGGUUCCCCACAUUUAUUGUCCCCAGCUGCAACACAAACCCACUGCAUGGAUGGCAUCUUCUGUGCCCCUUCAUGUCACCCAAGUGGAACUUGGGGAUGAGGAAUUCUUGCAAACAUUUGUGAUGCUCAUUCUUUUUUUGCUGUGCUCUGACUAAUAAAGUUCUUUUUCUC